AAACUGGCUCUCCGAUCGCACAAAACCCUCACCAAUCGCCCACACUCCCCUCACCGAUCGCACACUCCCCUCACCGCUCCAACACAGUCCCCUCACCGCUCGCACAUCCCCUCACCGAUUGCAGACAACUCUCACCGCUCCAACGCACUCCCCUUACCGAUCUGAGACAACUCUCACCGAUCUCACACUCCCCUCACCGAUCUCAGCCCACUCUCACCGAUCUCAAGCUACCUCACUUCCACCCUAUGUGAAUCCCCUUCCUCCCUCCGCUCUUCCUCCUCUUCGUUUCCUUCUCAUCGAUCGCUGGCACACACCCAUUCUCGCAAGGCCGACUAGCAGUGAUGUUGUUCGUAAAGAUUUGAAAUUAUAGUCAGAGGCACAAAGUUCACAAAAAAUUCCGGUCACUGUGCAAGAAAAUCCAGACGCCUCUCAAAAGCCAUUCACCUUCAUUUUCUUUCAUUUUAUCUUGGUACCCGCCCAAUUCCCACGCCUUUUCUUCGUUGUGCUUACUAUCUUUCUUAAUUUGAUGCGUCCUUGCAUCUUUGUAACUCUUUUUGUUGUAAUUGUUCUUUUCUUUUAAUUAUAUAGAUUAAGAUUUGUAUCAUAGGGCUGUAUCUGAGACAUACGUAGCCGUAUGAUACAAAUUUUGAAAAGAUACUUGUAAAACAAACACAGUUGGAACAUACCCAACGUGUAGUAUUGUAUUGGAAAGGGAAGUGGUUUUAUAUUUUAA